AGUGAACGCUGGCGGUAGGCCUAACACAUGCAAGUCGAACGGCAGCACAGGAGAGCUUGCUCUCUGGGUGGCGAGUGGCGGACGGGUGAGGAAUACAUCGGAAUCUACUUUUUCGUGGGGGAUAACGUAGGGAAACUUACGCUAAUACCGCAUACGACCUACGGGUGAAAGCAGGGGAUCUUCGGACCUUGCGCGAUUGAAUGAGCCGAUGUCGGAUUAGCUAGUUGGCGGGGUAAAGGCCCACCAAGGCGACGAUCCGUAGCUGGUCUGAGAGGAUGAUCCGCCACACUGGAACUGAGACACGGUCCAGACUCCUACGGGAGGCAGCAGUGGGGAAUAUUGGACAAUGGGCGCAAGCCUGAUCCAGCCAGACCGCGUGGGUGAAGAAGGCCUUCGGGUUGUAAAGCCCUUUUGUUGGGAAAGAAAUCCAGCUGGUUAAUACCCGGUUGGGAUGACGGUACCCAAAGAAUAAGCACCGGCUAACUUCGUGCCAGCCGCCGCGGUAA
rnacentral:rRNA from 1 species